AGUGGCGCACGGGUGAGUAACGCGUAUGCAACCUGCCUUUAACAGAGGGAUAGCCCAUAGAAAUGUGGAUUAAUACCUCAUAGUUCUUUUGUUCCGCAUGGGACAGAAGAUAAAGCUCCGGCGGUUAAAGAUGGGCAUGCGUGACAUUAGUUAGUUGGUGAGGUAACGGCUCACCAAGACUACGAUGUCUAGGGGUUCUGAGAGGAUGAUCCCCCACACUGGUACUGAGACACGGACCAGACUCCUACGGGAGGCAGCAGUGAGGAAUAUUGGUCAAUGGGCGCAAGCCUGAACCAGCCAUCCCGCGUGCAGGAUGACGGCCCUAUGGGUUGUAAACUGCUUUUAUACACCAAGAAACUUUCGGACGUGUCCGGAACUGACGGUAGUGUAUGAAUAAGCAUCGGCUAACUCCGUGCCAGCAGCCGCGGUAAUACGGAGGAUGCGAGCGUUAUCCGGAUUCAUUGGGUUUAAAGGGUGCGUAGGCGGCUUUUUAAGUCAGUGGUGAAAUCCUGCCGCUUAACGGUAGAAUUGCCAUUGAUACUGAAGAGCUUGAGUACAAUUGAGGUAAGCGGAAUGUGUAGUGUAGCGGUGAAAUGCUUAGAUAUUACGCAGAACACCGAUUGCGAAGGCGGCUUACUAAACUGUCACUGACGCUGAUGCGCGAAAGCGUGGGGAGCGAACAGGAUUAGAUACCCUGGUAGUCCACGCC
rnacentral:rRNA from 1 species